CAUAUUGUUGCAUCUAUCCCACUGUCUAAACUGUGGGGAAUCUUCAGGGGGUUAGGCACGGAACCAUCAAUAAAACCUAUUUUGUUUCUAGCGGACAAGGAGAUUAUUACGUUUCUCCUCCAACCCCCAAAACCAAUCCCUGAGAAAGGAUUGGUAACCAAGGAGACUCCAGGAACAUCAGAUGACAUGAGAAAUAGAGGAUUCGAAGGACUAGGGACAAAAUUAGUAGGAACGGAAGAAGAAUCAUCAACGACUUCCACCAUUUUUAACUACUGAUGAUGUUUAAACUCAACGAAACCACAGAUUGUGACCACAACAAAUUUCUAUCACAAAAAUACAACAAAAUCAACAACAAAAAUACAAUCUAUGAUGUUUAUACACUAGACAGCAAGUUUAAUCAACAAAAAAUACAGGUGUUUCAUCGAAAACUAACCGAACAAAAAACCCUAGAUUUUGAGAAUCAGCAGAAACAUGGAUGGAAAUCGACGAGGGUAACAUCGAUCGAAAGCUGAUGACGAGGAGAACCAGAAUAUACCCGCUCUGAUACCAUGUCAACAAUCUAACUCAUCGGAUUGAAGAAAAUAAAGAGGAAGAAGAUGAACAGUAAAGAGGAAAGAGAAGAGAGAAAAUGAAUCUGAUUUUUGCAUUGAUUGAAUUAAUUGUCUCGAACCUUCCGCCUGUGUAUAUACCAAAACAUAACAAAAAAUCUAAUGUGUGUGUGUAAUUACAAGUGUGUCCCUGACUUAUGUACAAAAUUAUACAACAAUCAAAAAGCUAAUGUGUGUGUGUAAUUACAAGUGUGUCCCUGACUUAUGUACAAAAUUAUACAACAAUUAAAUAGACCCACUACCCUUGGGCUGCCAUUAACUCUUGGGCAGCAGCUGAUAACUCGGGCUGCUGUAAGCUUUAAUAUUGGGCUGCUGACAUUGAAGC
rnacentral:lncRNA from 1 species